rnacentral:rRNA from 1 species
UGCGGAUGAGAGAGCGCACAGCUAAAAUGAAUCUGGCUUUGGGCGAUUGUNAUUUGUAGAAGGUGCUUCGGGCGAGGCCCCGGCCCAAGUCCCUUGGAACAGGGCGUCGCAGAGGGUGAGAAUCCCGUACGCGGCCGAUGGCCAAGCCCGUGUGAAGCCCUUUCGACGAGUCGAGUUGUUUGGGAAUGCAGCUCCAAAUGGGUGGUAAAUUUCAUCUAAAGCUAAAUAUCUGUCAGAGACCGAUAGCGCACAAGUAGAGUGAUCGAAAGAUGAAAAGCACUUUGAAAAGAGAGUCAAACAGUACGUGAAAUUGUUGAAAGGGAAGCGCUUGCAACGAGACUCGUUCGCGGGUGUUCAGCCGUCCCCCGGGGCGGUGCACUCUCCCGCGUUUCGGGCCAGCAUCGGUUUCGGCGGCCGGACAAAGGCCCCGGGAACGUAGCUCUCUCCGGAGAGUGUUAUAGCCUGGGGUGCAAUGCGGCCAGCUGGGACCGAGGAUCGCGCAUUCGCUAGGAUGCUGGCGUAAUCGUUGUCAGCGACCCGUCUUGAAACACGGACCAAGGAGUCGACCAAUCUGGCAAGUUUUAGGGCGUAAACCCCUGAAGCGCAAUGAAAGUGAACGUAGGUGGGAGCCUUCGGGUGCACCAUCGACCGAUCCUGAUGUCUUCGGAUGGAUUUGAGUAUGAGCCCGGCUGGUCGGACCCGAAAGAUGGUGAACUAUGCGUGAAUAGGGUGAAGCCAGAGGAAACUCUGGUGGAGGCUCGCAGCGGUUCUGACGUGCAAAUCGAUCGUCAAAUUUGCGCAUAGGGGCGAAAGACUAAUCGAACUAUCUAGUAGCUGGUUCCCGUCGAAGUUUCCCUCAGGAUAGCAGCAACGAAAACAGUCUCAUGAGGUAGAGCAAACGAUUAGAGGUCUUGGGGUUGUAUUCGACCUUAACCUAUUCUCGAACUUCGAAUAUGUGAGAAGUCCUUGUUACUUAGUUGAACGUGGACAUUUGGGAUGUAUCGUCAUCCAGUGGGCCAUUUUUGGUAACAGAAAACUGGCGCGAA